UAGGGAAUCUUCGGCAAUGGACGAAAGCCUGACCGAGCAACGCCGCGUGAGUGAAGAAGGUUUUCGGAUCGUAAAACUCUGUUGUUAGAGAAGAACAAGGACGUUAGUAACUGAACGUCCCCUGACGGUAUCUAACCAGAAAGCCACGGCUAACUACGUGCCAGCAGCCGCGGUAAUACGUAGGUGGCAAGCGUUGUCCGGAUUUAUUGGGCGUAAAGCGAGCGCAGGCGGUUUCUUAAGUCUGAUGUGAAAGCCCCCGGCUCAACCGGGGAGGGUCAUUGGAAACUGGGAGACUUGAGUGCAGAAGAGGGGAGUGGAAUUCCAUGUGUAGCGGUGAAAUGCGUAGAUAUAUGGAGGAACACCAGUGGCGAAGGCGGCUCUCUGGUCUGUAACUGACGCUGAGGCUCGAAAGCGUGGGGAGCAAACAGG
rnacentral:rRNA from 1 species